rnacentral:lncRNA from 1 species
CCGGAAGGUGGUGAUUGACUCCGCUGUCCUGGCGUCGUGAGGGAGCUUGUUCCACCAUUGGGGUGCCAGAGCAGCUAACAGUUUUGACUGGGCUGAGCGGGAACUGUGCUUCCUCAGAGGUAGGGGGGCCAGCAGGCCAGAGGUGGUAAGGGGACAUUGAUUUGAUCAUUCAGGUAAGGGGACAUUGAUUCGUUUAUUCAGGUAAGGGGACAUUGAUUUGUUCAUUCAGGUAAGGGGACAUUGAUUUGUUCAUUCAGGUAAGGGGACAUUGAUUAGUUUAUUCAGGUAAGGGGACAUUGAUUUGAUCAUUCAGGUAAGGGGACAUUGAUUUCUUUAUUAAGGUAAGGGGACAUUGAUUUGUUCAUUCAGGUAAGGGGACAUUGAUUUGUUCAUUCAGGUAAGGGGACAUUGAUUAGUUUAUUCAGGUAAGGGGACAUUGAUUUGUUUAUUCAAGUAAGGGGACAUUGAUUCGUUCAUUCAGGUAAGGGGACAUUGAUUCGUUUAUUCAGGUAAGGGGACAUUGAUUUGUUCAUUCAGGUAAGGGGACAUUGAUUCGUUUAUUCAGGUAAGGGGACAUUGAUUUGUUCAUUCAGGUAAGGGGACAUUGAUUCGUUUAUUCAGGUAAGGGGACAUUGAUUCGUUUAUUCAGGUAAGGGGACAUUGAUUUGAUCAUUCAGGUAAGGGGACAUUGAUUCGUUUAUUCAGGUAAGGGGACAUUGAUUUGUUCAUUCAUGACGUAUGAUUUGUCCUUAUCUAUUCUGCAUGUGUGUGGUUGGGUGUAGGUCAACUGUUGCCCUACUUCUUGCCAAUGUCUGCUGCAUUCUCAUACUGUCCAUGGAUAGGUUACUGUCUCAUACUGUCCAUGGAUAGGUUACUGUCUCAUACUGUCAUGGCUAGGUUACUGUCUCAUACCAUCACACUGUCCAUGGCUAGGUUACUGUCUCAUACUGUCCAUGGCUAGGUUACUGUCUCAUACUGUCCAUGGCUAGGUUACUGUCUCAUACUGUCCAUGGAUAGGUUACUGUCUCAUACUGUCCAUGGCUAGGUUACUGUCUCAUACUGUCCAUGGAUAGGUUACUGUCUCAUACUGUCCAUGGAUAGGUUACUGUCUCAUACUGUCAUGGCUAGGUUACUGUCUCAUACCAUCACACUGUCCAUGGCUAGGUUACUGUCUCAUACCAUCACAUUGUCCAUGGCUAGGUUACUGUCUCAUACUGUCCAUGGAUAGGUUACUGUCUCAUACUGUCAUGGCUAGGUUACUGUCUCAUACCAUCACAC